rnacentral:rRNA from 1 species
GUGCCAGCCGCCGCGGUAAUACGUAGGGGGCAAGCGUUGUCCGGAAUUAUUGGGCGUAAAGGGCGUGCAGGCGGUUUCUUAAGUCUGAUGUGAAAUCUUGUAGCUUAACUACAAGCGGUCAUUGGAAACUGGGAGACUUGAGUGCAGAAGAGGAGAGUGGAAUUCCACGUGUAGCGGUGAAAUGCGUAGAUAUGUGGAGGAACACCAGUGGCGAAGGCGACUCUCUGGUCUGUAACUGACGCUGAGGCGCGAAAGCGUGGGGAGCGAACAGGAUUAGAAAC